rnacentral:rRNA from 1 species
AAAUUGAAGAGUUUGAUCAUGGCUCAGAUUGAACGCUGGCGGCAGGCCUAACACAUGCAAGUCGAGCGGAAACGACAACAUUGAAUCUUCGGAGGAUUUGUUGGGCGUCGAGCGGCGGACGGGUGAGUAAUGCCUAGGAAAUUGCCUUGAUGUGGGGGAUAACCAUUGGAAACGAUGGCUAAUACCGCAUAAUGCCUACGGGCCAAAGAGGGGGAUCUUCGGACCUCUCGCGUCAAGAUAUGCCUAGGUGGGAUUAGCUAGUUGGUGAGGUAAUGGCUCACCAAGGCGACGAUCCCUAGCUGGUCUGAGAGGAUGAUCAGCCACACUGGAACUGAGACACGGUCCAGACUCCUACGGGAGGCAGCAGUGGGGAAUAUUGCACAAUGGGCGAAAGCCUGAUGCAGCCAUGCCGCGUGUAUGAAGAAGGCCUUCGGGUUGUAAAGUACUUUCAGUUGUGAGGAAGGGUGUGUAGUUAAUAGCUGCGCAUCUUGACGUUAGCAACAGAAGAAGCACCGGCUAACUCCGUGCCAGCAGCCGCGGUAAUACGGAGGGUGCGAGCGUUAAUCGGAAUUACUG